CACCCAAGAAAGCAAAUCCUAGCCUCCACCAAUCUUGUCGCCGUGUGUCGGAGUGAGAGACUGCUGCUGCCGCUUCCGUCGCACUCAAGAACUUCCGCCUUGGUGCUAUCGUCGUUCGUUUCUUAGCUCUCACCAUCCCCUGUUCGCUCGCAUCAGUCACCUGUUCGCUCUCCAUCCCCUGUUCGCUGUCAUCAGUCGCCUGUUCGCCGUCGUCCGUUGUGCUCAACCGCUCUCCGUCGUCCGUUGCGCUCAACCGCUCUCCGUCGUCCGUCAAAGGUAACCUACUUUAAUUAGGUGUUGAAACUUCCAUCCAUGACCAGCACGUGUCAACAGGAUGAAUUGGUUGGAUGAAUUAAUGAAAAAUCAGACCAAUC